CCCUCGUCUCUCCCCCUAGGAAGGUAUUAAGGUUGUCUCUCAUAAACCUAUUCUUCCAUUUUCCCCCUUCUUCAGUGACCCACUUUCACAUUCAAAUCUCGGCCAUUUGGGGAAGAAAAUGAUUAGGGCAUUUCGGAUGGCCGAUCUCGCCACAAAAACCAUCGAUGUUCCUUCUCUCAUUUUCUAUAGCGACAAUCUUGUUUCGGUCCUUAAGAACAAGAAGGACAUCAACGGCUUGAUUUCCUCACUAGAUGGAGCAAAGAAACUACAAUCUUCUUGCGAGGCCAAUCGAUCCGAUCUUCAUAUCCAAAUACAAGUGAAGUUGGUGUUUGAAGGAAUAUUUGUCAAAAGAAAAGCAACUAAUGCACUUGCGCUGAGGAUAUUCGGAAAGCAAAUUGAGGCCGGGGAUUCUUCAAGUUAGGUCAGUUGACUUGCUAGUAAAGGUGGUGCUGGUGUAAAGAAGGGUGGUGGGCAUACAGCAACUUCUUACCCUACAAAGCUCUUAAAUUAUGGGACCAUCAUUAACUUUCGACAUUUCCUAAAUAUUCACAACUGAAUUUACUUGUGUAUCCAAACGCAGCCUAUUAGGUUUAUAUUGGUGCUUAAAACUUGCUUUUGUUGUACGUAUUCCUUAUAAACAUAAAGGGAAUCGUCAGAAGCUUGGUGACUAUGGUCAGCUGGUGGCCAGUUUCAUACACUUUCAACUUUUUCACAAGUUAGGUAUCAACAAAUUGUUCCAACGGACUAUCCAAAUGAACAGCUCUAUGUGAUUCAGAUAUGCUUUCUUGCCUUUAUGUGUGUAGAAUUCGCUUCCUUCAUUUUAAUGUUUUAUUAAACUUGAUGUAAUGGUGGGUAGAUUUUCAUUGACUAUUUAAAUUAUGAAGUUUUCAUUUAGUUCAGCUGGCCUCCAAAACACAAAAUCAUGCGAAGUAUGACAUAUGGACUAACAUUCCUCCUAAAACAUCUCAAAACAAUUACUGGUUAUCCAAAGAUACGGUACCUAAUUAAUCUCUUAAAGAAAGGAAAAAGUCGACUAUCUUAAUGUUGUUUACUUGAGUUAGAAGUAUUCAGUUUUAUCUUUGAGGAUUUAUUUCCUUUCAGGUACAUGCAGUCUGGCUUUAUAAAUGUCUUAGCUGAAUGGAUAGACAGUAAAAUCUUGUUGAUGUGUGUAUUUGAUUGAGUGAUUUAUUUGCCUCUUCUGCCUAUCAUUUUAAGUAAAAGUCCAUUUGAAUGCGGAUAUGAUUCUUAUCCUCAGAUGUAGAUCCACUUAUUGUUGUACUUUUCUCUGAAAGUGAUUUAUUUUCCAGCCCACUUGGCAUAGGGAGUGGCUGCUUGAUCUGUUGGCCUCAUGGGUCUUAGUGACUAGUAAGGAAACAUCUAAAGUAGAGGAUUUACCGAAGGACAUGAAGUCAAGGUGAAUGCCAAAAUCUGUUAUCUUUAUUUGUGUUGUUUAUCACUAUUUUGAAUGGUAUUGAAUUUUGUUUCAGGAUUUAUUCGAUGAGUAAGAAGAAGCAACAAUUGGUGUAAAGAGGAAUUCUGGAACUGAACUCUUCAAUCUUGAGUUAAAGAUGAGAGAUUCUUCUGCGCAGUAUGAGAAUGUCUGUAUCAUACCUUGAGAAAUGAACUUAAACAUCAAUGCAAAAUACAACGUAGAUUUUGGAAAACAAUUGCAUUUUACUAAUGAGAAUGUGUGCUUCUUUGAG